rnacentral:rRNA from 1 species
UACGGAGGGCGCGAGUGUUACCCGGAUUUACUGGGCGUAAAGGGCGUGUAGGCGGCUUGGGUCGUCCCAUGUGAAAGGCCACGGCUCAACCGUGGAGGAGCGUGGGAUACGCUCAGGCUAGACGGUGGGAGAGGGUGGUGGAGUUGCCGGAGUAGCGGUGAAAUGCGUAGAUACCGGGCGGAACCCCGAUGGCGAAGGCAGCCACCUGGUCCGCAUGUGACGCUGAGGCGCGAAAGCGUGGGGAGCGAACCGG